rnacentral:rRNA from 1 species
UGUGAACGCUGGCGGUAGGCCUAACACAUGCGAGUCGAACGGCAGCACAGUAAGAGCUUGCUCUUACGGGUGGCGAGUGGCGGACGGGUGAGGAAUACAUCGGAAUCUACUUUUUCGUGGGGGAUAACGUAGGGAAACUUACGCUAAUACCGCAUACGACCUACGGGUGAAAGCAGGGGAUCUUCGGACCUUGCGCGAUUGAAUGAGCCGAUGUCGGAUUAGCUAGUUGGCGGGGUAAAGGCCCACCAAGGCGACGAUCCGUAGCUGGUCUGAGAGGAUGAUCAGCCACACUGGAACUGAGACACGGUCCAGACUCCUACGGGAGGCAGCAGUGGGGAAUAUUGGACAAUGGGCGCAAGCCUGAUCCAGCCAUACCGCGUGGGUGAAGAAGGCCUUCGGGUUGUAAAGCCCUUUUGUUGGGAAAGAAAAGCAGCAGGUUAAUACCCCGCUGUUCUGACGGUACCCAAAGAAUAAGCACCGGCUAACUUCGUG